GAUGAAGAACGCAGCGAAAUGCGAUAAGUAGUGUGAAUUGCAGAAUUCAGUGAAUCAUCGAAUCUUUGAACGCACAUUGCGCCCGCCAGUAUUCUGGCGGGCAUGCCUGUUCGAGCGUCAUUUCAACCAUCAAGCCCCAGGCUUGUGUUGGGGACCUGCGGCUGCCGCAGGCCCUGAAAACCAGUGGCGGGCUCGCUGUCACACCGGGCGUAGUAGAUUUUAUCUCGCUCAGGGCGUGCUGCGGGUUCCGGCCGUUAAAAAGCCUUUUUUACCCAAGGUUGACCUCGGAUCAGGUAGGAAGACCCGCUGAACUUAAGCAUAUAAUAAGCGGAGGA
rnacentral:misc_RNA from 1 species